rnacentral:lncRNA from 1 species
UCCAGUAGGGAUGGGUCUAAGGUCACAAUGCCGGCCCACCAACAGGGGUAGUUGGUAGAUAAUUGUCUUUGUGAUAAUUAUCUUGGUAUGUUUAUGUGAUAUGCUCUUGAGAUAUGCUUAUGUGAUGUUCUUAUGAGAUAUGUUUAUGUGAUAUGCUUAUGCGAUAUGCUAUGUGUGUUAGUGGUAGUAGCAAAUAGUUUUUCCCUGACUCGGUCGUUAAGAUCGAAGGGUAGGUCAGUACCCCAGAAAUGCCUGACUGUAUGAUUAUAUCAUGAUAUUAUAUGAUAGUGGUAGGGGUGAAAUAGUCCCCGGUUACCGAUUGAAAGAUACCGAUGGAGGAUACUGGUUGAAAGAUACCGGGGAGAUACCNACCGAUGGCAGUUACCGGUUGAAAGAUACCGAAGGGGUAUACAGAACCCAUGCAAUGCUUAUCUGUAUGUUUAUGAUAUGUUAGUAUGUGAUCAAUAUGUUUAUGUUAUGUUAGUAUGUGAUCAGUAUGUUUAUGAUAUGUUAGUAUGUGAUCAACAUGUUUAUGAUGUUAGUACGUGAUCAGUAUGUUUAUGACAUAUUAUUAUGUGAUAGUGGUAGGGGUGAAAUAGUCCCCGGUUACCGGUUGAAAGAUACCGAUGACAGUUACCGGUUGAAAGAUACUUAUGGUAUUAGGUGGUAUGUGGUAUGAUGGGGGAACUUACUAAGCUUCGUGCUUACGGUUUACAGUUUUGAUUUCAGGUACUUUGUUUCAAAGGAAAGGUGCUGGCUUGGUUGCAGCGCAUCACACUAUGUUUUCCGCAUACGAAAUCCUUGGGAUUAUACUCUGAUAUGGUUUCAUAAUAUUAUAUUUUGAUUAUUGACACUCUGAUUUUAUGUAAUAACCUAAUUAAAGAUGUAAUUUUUGGUCUUGAAUUUUGGGAUGUUACAAGUUGGUAUCAGAGUCUUGGUUUGAGGGAUUCGGACGUACUCUCAGGUGUGACUGAACUCAAACUAAGGGCUUGGUAUGAAAAUUUUCAAAAGUAAAACCAUUUUAUAAAAAGUAAUUUGAAAAGAAUCUGUAAAGGGAAAAGAACUUUCAGAACAAAGUGUGUGAUGUGUGCAAUCAGCCGAGCUCAAGUAAGUUUUCCCCAAGAUACCCAUGCAUGUUAUGAUAUGUUAUGUUAUGAUAUGAUUAUGAGAACUGCAUGCUAGACUACGGCUAAGGAUCUAGGAAAAUGCCUUAUGUGCCUGUUGUAUAUGCUUGCUGAAUUACAUGAUAGUAUUGAUCAGUCAGUGAUAGGAUAGCCUGUUUAGGUUAUGCCUGAUUGUAUGAGCCUUUGGAGUUACAUGCUAGUAUAUAUUCCUGAUAGGAGGAUAAACGGAUUUGAUUGGAAUGUGUUGGUUAGAUUUCCCAUUAACUGAAUGUUGCUUGCUUUGUGCUUCGAGGGACUCUUGGUAAUGUGAGCUAGCUACUAAGUGAAUAUGCUAAAUCAUGAGUGGCUAUAUUCAUGAGGUAGCUAGUUGACAUUACUGGGGAGUCUGUCAGCAGCUGAGGACUGGGUGAGUACGGGAACCUAGGAAAGCCUAGUCAGUGCUUUAGUAGGUUCGGUUGCGCUGUUAGUGAGCAUUUAGGGUACCAGUUUGAGGAAGUGACUUGGAGGAUUCAGGACGAUUGCUGAGGAAAAUAUGGAUAGAUGUGGAAGGUAGUAUUGGGCCCGUACUACUGAAAGCACAGGAUCCAUACUCGAAUCGGCGAGAGUCUUGGAGAAUCUGAGAAGCUUCGGGGAGAAGUUUGUGACCCGGUUUGGGGAUAGAGUAUGUUCCAGUUGUUACAGCUUAGCCAUUGGCAAGCGAGCUAGUGAGCGUGACAGAGUGUCAGACCCUGAAGGAUAUGAUUUCCAAGAAGUUGCAGAUGCGAGAUCGAAUUGGGAGCACUCUGGAACGAGAGAUUCGUGUCAGGUGAGUUUAUUAGAGGGUCCCGAGAAGAGACCCAUGACUUCCGGUCAUCGAGUGAAAGGCCAGCAGGGCCAGAGUGAGUGCAUCACGUACAGGAAAGGGCACAAGGGAGUUUGUCGCUCCAAGGGUUUAGGCUACUGCAGGGUAGCGAGGUUGAUCGUGACAGUUAAGCGUGUUUAGUAUUCCUUUAGAUGUUGUGGGUAUGUCGUCUUCUACUGCUAAUAAAUGGAUGAUGGGAAUACGUAUCGCUUUGGGAUUAUGAGCGAGUUUGGGUAAGUCAGAUCUCAGGUCGGUUUUCUGCUAGUGUUUGGGUUAUCAGGGAUCAUAUAUGCCAUCCAGCAUGCCGAAAGGUCCUUGAUGAACCCACAGAAGGACGUACCUUGCGGAGUGGGUUCCGCGUGUACCGUCAUCAUUCCAAAUCUUUGUCGAGAUAUGUGCCAGAGUAUUGUUUGGAAGAUCCUCGGUCGGGGUUAGAGCGAUAGUUCUGCAGUGAAGUUAGUGUUCAGUGGUACUGUGAGAUUGGAAGUGGGAAUGAGGACUCGUCAGCCAGAGUGAAGAUUAAGGCCUCUAGUGUCAGCACGGGAGGUGGAUUGAGGUGUCAGAUUGGACCAUAUUUCAAGAGUACUCAUCGAGAUUUCCGAAUAUGGGCUAUCUCAAGGUUUAAUCGGUGACUAAUCGCUAGGAUUGGUAAGCACAUGUUGUCAUUAGUGGGAUACUAGAAAGCAAGAAGGAUUGGGAAUCCUUCAAUUCUUGUAUGUUGUGAAGACUUAGUUGAAUGUAAGUGGGGGAGAUACUUUUUAUAAAGUUCUCCAAAUGUGAGUUCUGGUUGCGCGGGGUGCAAUCUCUUGGCCACCUUGUCAACCAGAAGGGUAUUCUAGUUGAUCCGGCCAAGAUAGAGGCCGUGAUGCAGUGGGAGAAUCCGAGGUCUCCAUCUGAGAUUCUAGGUUUCCCGGGUCUAGCAGGUUAUUAACAGAGACUUAUACGGGACUUCUCUGAGAUUUUGGUUCCUUUGACCGGACUGACCAAGAAGUCGGUGGCCUUUCGUUGGGGGCCUGAGUAGCAGGCAGCCUUCGAGACUCUCAGACAGUGGUUGUGCAAGGCACUGAUUCUCACUAUACCAGAGGGUGUAGAUGAUUUCACGGGUUACUGUGACGCUUUGAUCACAGGAAUGGGUUGUGGUACUGAUAGAGUGGGGUCACAUGAUAGCAGGUUUUGGGAACCAGGUUAGAGUUCCGGUUAGGACUCAAGUUCAGUGGUGUGUUAGGUCGAAUGUGUGUUUGACCCAGUUAGAAAGUGUUGUAAGACUGCGGGGGUAGCCCUAGCAUCCAUUAGUGGUCAGAUAGUUUGGAAAGUGUUGUAAAACUACGGGGGUAGGCGUAUCAUUCACUAGUGGUCAGAUAGUUUGGAAGGUGAUGUAAGACUACGGGGGUAGAAUUCACUAGUGGUCAGUUAGUAUGGUAAGUGUUGUAAGACUACUGGGGUAGCCGUAGCAUUCACUAGUGGUCAGUUAGUUUGGGGAGUGUUGUAAUUCUGCAGAUGUAGCCGUAGCAUUCACUAGGUUGGUAGAUAGCAUGAGUGCGUUGUUAGGACGCGGAAGGAGAAAUAGUACCCACCAGUUCGGGCGCAACAGUGAGGAUAUGGAAAUCCAUAGAUUGGAUUUCGGUUUUACUCAAAUGGAUUAUAUCUGGUUAAGCCAGUAAUGAGACUGUAGGGGCAUCGCUAUAAUUAUGGGAUCAUGAAAGCAAUGGACUGUAUGAGAUUGCUUGUGAUUUACGGCUACCAUCGGUUAGUUGGCAAUCAUUGUUAGCCUUGGAUUUGAUGAUGACAAGAUUCGAUGCAUGGACUCGAUCGCUUAGAUCAAAAAGUUGUUAGAGCCUCAAUGGCAUGAUAACUAGUGGGAACUAGGUCUGGAGAAGGAUUUUGUUUGAAAGUCGUGUGAGGCGACUAAGUGGGAGUCCCUUGGCUCCACUGUCGGGUCGAAACCCGGUAUUUUAGAUGGUUGGUGAAUAAAUUGAGACCAGGCAGGUCUCCUUAGAUUUUGGAAAGCAGCCAUGUGGAAAGAUACUGCUUCAGGCAGUUCAGUGUUCGGGCAGUUUCAGUGUUUGGGCAGUCUUGGCAUUUGUGUUUCAGGUUGCAAGUACGGACGGAAUAGCCGGUUGAUGGAGAAGUGACAAGUCACUCCCAGCGGGAUUAGCUGAGCCUCGACCAAGAAUAAGUGAUUUGCAGGGGUAAUUAGGUAUGUGAACCUGUUUUAUAGUGGGAACCUCGAGUUAUUGAAAGUUGAGUAAUCGGUCGAGGGAUAAACGGACUGGAUUCAUCGAUGAUGAAUCAAUAUGAGUGGUCUGUCAGGGAAUCAGACCACCUCGAGAUAGUAAAUUCAGACGAAGUAGAUGUGAACUUGUUGUGAAGAAUUCUUUCACCUGCGGAUUUUAGGGCUUUACGAGGAUUGGUCAUGGCUACCCUAGGAAGGCUAGGGCGUGGCCAGGUUGGUGACCAUGCUACUAGAGGGUUGGGGGANUACUAGAGUGGUUGGGCGAGUAAGGAAUGAUUUUGAGGACGAAAUCUAAUUUAAGUGGGGGAGAGUUGUAACACCCGUUUAUUUAUUAAAUAAAUAAAUAAAUAAAUGAAGGACUCGUAGCCCUAAAAUAAAUAAUUAUGUAUAAAGGAUGGUCUCGAAGAGCUAAUCGUCACCAUUUUAGAAGUCGGGGGUUAAAAGAGUAAGUUCCGGACCCAAUUCGUAAGUAUUAACGAGGGCGGGGACUAAAUAUUAACUUUUGGGACUUCAUUUGAAAGGAUUUUAGAGGCUUAGGGGUUGUACUGUAUAGUGGUGGCUUUAUUUUGUAAGGAAUUAUGGAAGGGAGGGCUAAAAUGUAAGUUUUCGAUUUCAUUUGAAAGAGAAUUGGAGGGCAGGGUUUAAAAGGUAAAUAUGGGAUUUAUUUUGUAAUGAUUUCUAGAUGGAGGGCUAAACUUGGAAUUAUGAAAAGAAGUUAUGGGGAUCGGGAUAUAUAAACCCGUCACCCCCGGUAACCCUAACCCUAAUGCGUUUUCUCUAGCCGCCACCAUGGAGCACAGCCGCCGCAUCUGCUUUCCUCCUUGCCACCACUGAAGCCCUAUCACCACCGUCACUUCCGGCUGACGAUGAGGACGAGAGUCGCCAAGUGAAGACCUCUGUGGUUGCUCCAAUGUGGUGGAGGUCGAGGACCAGCCUUACGACGUCUCUCAGCCGGGUGUAUCAUUGCCCGUGUUACUGUUUCAUUUCCACCAGCCGCCAUGAUUCCUCUGCCGACGAUGAACAAAGAACCACCGAGGACGACUUCUGGGUGGCAUUUAUCCUGCUCCGCCUUUAGCCCACGUCGCCAACGUCGCUAGGGUUGUUGCUCCGCCGCCGCUUCGUCGACCUAUUGUUGUUGGACUCGAUGUGGCGGUUAACCGUGGCUGUCACUGCCACCUUCGGUUUCGUUACUACUCGUUUGCCGACGACAAUAAGGCUGCCGUCACCUCCUUCGUUUCCUGUUGCAUCGUUACAGAUCCGCCGCCGUUGCCACUCUGUUGAAGACUUAGAUUCGCCGCCUGCCACCGUGAAAUGGUGCCUGAGUUCGAGGACUCGUGAAGUUGAAGUGUUUUUGGGUUUAUUGUUUGGCCUUUCUUUUGGGCCUUGAUGAUUGGAUUAUUAAUGGGCCAUCCAAGAAUAAUCAUGUGGACUGAAAUAAUUUAAUGGGCCUAGGGCAAGGCCAAUGUAAGGGGUUGGGCCCAAUUUAGAAAUUUGGGCUAUAGUUGGGCCUUAAUGAUUAUAUGAUAUUGGGCCUUAGAAUAAGACCAUGUAUAGGCCUGGGCCCAAUUUGGAAAAUUGGGCCAUAUGCUGGGCUUUGAUUCCUAGUUGAAUUUGGGCCUAUGGAUUAGGCCUUGGGCUUGAAUACGCCAAGCUUGGGGUAACGUAGUAAUUAUCCAAGUAUGUGUUAUGGUUAUGUAGUGGAACCCAAUUAUUAAUUGGGUGUUAUUUUGGUAUUGACGGUUCGGGAAUCUGUCAUCCAGCUGUUGGGGUUGAGUCUGCGGGACUUCAACAGUGUGAGAUUGUGUCUACGGGACUUUAGCAGUGUGAGGUGAGUUACCUUCCAGUAGGGAUGGGUCUAAGGUCACAAUGCCGGCCCACCAACAGGGGUAGUUGGUAGAUAAUUGUCUUUGUGAUAAUUAUCUUGGUAUGUUUAUGUGAUAUGCUCUUGAGACAUGCUUAUGUGAUGUGCUUAUGAGAUAUGUUUAUGUGAUAUGCUUAUGCGAUAUGCUAUGUGUGUUAGUGGUAGUAGCAAAUAGUUUUUCCCUGACUUGGUCGUUAGGAUCAAAGGGUAGGUCAGUACCCCAGAAAUGCCUGACUGUAUGAUUAUAUCAUGAUAUUAUAUGAUAGUGGUAGGGGUGAAAUAGUCCCCGGUUACCGAUUGAAAGAUACCGAUGGCGGAUACUGGUUGAAAG